CUCUUCUCUCAACCCAUGGGAGUUACAUUCUUCCAAUUCUCCUCCCCAUUGCUCCGGGAGCGGGGGCAGGAAGAAGUGGGAGGGUGUGAGCGAGCGGCUGUGUGGUUCUGAGUUACCGGCUGGGCUCAAACCACGACAAAGCCCAUUUCAGUCUCCCAUG